rnacentral:tRNA from 1 species
GCCUCUGUGGUAUAGUGGUCAGUACGAUCGGCGCGUAUUCGAGAGGUCUUUGGUUCGAGUCCCGACAAGGGCA